CUACGGGUUGCUCCAGUGGGGAAUAUUGGACAAUGGGGGAAACCCUGAUCCAGCAAUGCCGCGUGUGUGAAGAAGGCCUGCGGGUUGUAAAGCACUUUCGGUUGGGAGGACUGCUUCUAGCACUAAUAUUGUUGGAAGUUGACGUUACCUUCAGAAGAAGCACCGGCUAACUCCGUGCCAGCAGCCGCGGUAAUACGGAGGGUGCAAGCGUUAAUCGGAAUUACUGGGCGUAAAGCGCGCGUAGGCGGCUAGAUCAGUCGGGUGUGAAAGCCCCGGGCUUAACCUGGGAACUGCAUCCGAUACUGUCUAGCUUGAGUACAGGAGAGGAGAGUGGAAUUCCACAUGUAGCGGUGAAAUGCGUAGAUAUGUAGAGGAACACCAAUGGCGAAGGCAGCUCUCUGGCCUGAUACUGACGCUGAAGUGCGAAAGCGUGGGGAGCAAACAGGAUUAGAUACCCGGGUAGUC
rnacentral:rRNA from 1 species